AACAUCUCCCCGGAGCCUUCCCUUCUCCAGGCAGAGCAACUCCAACUCUCUCAGCCUGUCCUCAUAGAAGAGGUGCUCCAGUCCUUUCAUCAUCUUCACGACCCUCCUCCGGACCCAUUUCAACAGGUCCAUGCCUUUCCUGUGCUGGGGGCUCGGCUGGGGGUCUCACCAGAGCAGAGUAGAGGGGUGCAGUCACCUCCCUCAACCCACUGGCCACACUUCUCUUGAUGCAGCCCAGGAUGUGGCUUUUCAGCACUGAGAGCGCACAUUUUUAGCUAAUGUCCAGCUCUUCAUCUACCAGUAGCCCCAAGUCCUUCUCAGCAGGGUUGGUCUCAAUCCCUUCAUCCCUGAGUCUGUCUUGAUACUGGGGGUUGCCCCAGCCCAGAGCAGGACCCUGCACUUGGCCCUUGUUCAUAUGGGCUCACUUAUUGAGCUUGUCCAGGUCCCUAUGGGUGGCAUCCUGUCCCUCAGGCAUGUCAAGCCCACCACUCAGCUUGGUUUCAUCUGCAAACUUUCUGAGGGUGCUCUCAAUCCCACUGUCUAUGAUAAAGAUAUUAAACAGUACAGGUCCCAGUAUGGACCUGUGAGGAACGCUGCUUGUCACCAGUCUUCAUCUGAAUAGUGAGUUGUUGACAACUACCUUCUGGAUGCAACCAUCCAGCCAAUUCCUCAUCCACUGAACAGUCCACCCAUCAAAUCCGUAUCCCUCCAGUUUAGAGAGCAGGAUGUUGGGGCCUUACAGAGGUCCAGACAGAUGAUGUCCCUAGGUCUUCCCUUGUCCUCUGAUGUAGCCGCUCCAUCAUAGAAGGCCACUAGGUUGGUCAGGCAGGACUUGCCCUUGGUGAAGCCAUGCUGGCUGUCUUGAAUCGCCUCCCUGUCCUCCGUGUGCCUUAGCACAGCUUUCAGGUGAGGCUGACAUGUUGAUAGGCCCUAGGAGUCUCUCCUAUGCUUUUUAAAAAAUGAGUGCAGUUUUUCCCUUUUUCCAGUCACCAGGGACUUCACCUGACUGCCAUGACUUCUCAAAUAUCAUGGAGAGUGGCUUGGCCAAUCUGUCAGGACUCUGGGAUGUAUCUAAUCAGGUCCCAUAGACUUAUGCUGAGGUUCCUCAGGUGGUUGCAAACCUCAUCUCUUGGAGCAGGAGGGACUUUGCUCUUCCAGUCCCUGUCUUGUGGUCCAUCCCCUCGAGAGGUGUGGGGAGAGAGGUUGCCAGUAAAGACUGAGGCAAAAAAGUUGUUGAGUCCCUCAGCCUUUUCCUAGUCCAUGGUUACCAGUUUGUCAGUCUUUCUCAUCAGGGGGUUACGCUUUCUUUCACCUUCCUUUUCUGGAUGACGUACCUGUGGAACCCCCUCUUUGUGUCCCUUCCACGUUCAGCUCCAGCUGCACCUUGACCUUCCUGAUCCCAUCCCUACACAACCAGGCAGUGUCCCUUUAUUCCUCCCAGGAUACCUGUCCCUUCUUCCACUGCCUGUGUGUUUCCUUCUUGCUCUUUAGUGUGACCAGCAGCUCUUGACUCAGCUGUGCUGGUCUCUUGCCUUCCUUUCCUGAUUUCUAACACAUUGAGAGCUCUUGCACUCUAACGAGAAUGUCCUUAAAGAUGUUUUUUCCCCACUGUUGUAAACUGGCAAUGGCUUUUAUUUAUCCGAGUAAUGUAUUGUGUUUCCUUCACCAGAUUCCUCUAUGUGGUUUAACCAAGUAGCCAGCUUCUCCCCUUUAGCAAUUGUGAUCCUGACCCACAGCAGAGAAACAUUCAUUGCCAAAAAUGCAUCUUGUAGCAUAAGCAAACUUGAGGCCAGUAACUCCUGAAAACGAGUGCUCUCCUGCCAGCCGCUGGGCAAGGCUUCAGCCAAUUAAGGGCACCGUGGGCAUUGAAGUGCCCGUGGUUGUGGUGCAGCCUCUUCCUAAGGAAGGCGACGAGGGGAAGAGGAUCUGAAUUCUAAUUAGAUACAAUUAGAGGAUUUUAACACAGAAACCCUGGAAACUUGCAAACUGUGAACCUGAAUGGAGAGAUCUUUUUUUUUUUUUUUUUUCCCAUUUCUUCUUCCUAAAUGCUGUCAGCGUGGCUUCUUAAUGCAACGCCGUGAGAGAGGCCGUGUUGGGUCAGACUGGGACAGGGUGUUCUGCAGGCAGUGCCCAUGGCAGGCUCCUGGGGAGGAGCUGUGCCGUGGGUGAGCCGGCCCUGGGAUCCUUUCUCAGCUCCCAGCAAUCAACGGCUGAGGGCAUUUCUGAACCACAGCUAUCGGUGUGUUUAGACGCCUUUCAUGGAUUUUUCUCUUCUGUGAUUAUGUCUAAUUGCUUUUUGAAACCGUGUAAACUUUUGGCAUCGGCAGCAGCUUGUGUCAGUGAUUUCCAUCCAAGCUGAAAUCCUUCCCGUCGCGAUUAACCCAGGAACAAUUUGCUAAGAGGAGUCUCUGUUGUUAUGCGGAAACUCUGAUCUCCUGUGCUAAAGGCCACGAAGCGGAAGAGAAGAAGAAAAUCUUUACAAAUGAAUGUCUGCAAAGAGCAAACAUGAUAUGGAGAGAGAAUAAAUGUCACGUCGGAAAUUAUGUGUUCAUGGACGCUGCUUUGUGGCCAAGUUGUUUUCACUCCCACUGCAGCCAGUGAGAUGGUUAACCCUCUGCGUGGUGAGACAGUCCCCUCACAAUGUAGAGAUCCUAGAGAAAUGGAGCAGCUUCAUUUAAAAAAGCAUUUAAAAACACAUUAGAAAUAAUUCACU